UUGACCUCGGAUCAAGUAGA
rnacentral:rRNA from 2 species